rnacentral:tRNA from 1 species
CAUAGCUCAGCUGGAUAGAGCAACGGCCUUCUAAGCCGUGGGUCGGGGGUUCGAAUCCCUUCGG